rnacentral:rRNA from 1 species
UACAGAGGGUGCGAGCGUUAAUCGGAAUUACUGGGCGUAAAGCGUGCGUAGACGGUAGCGUAAGUCAGAUGUGAAAGCCCCGGGCUCAACCUGGGAAUUGCAUUUGAGACUGCUCUGCUUGGGUGCGGAAGAGGGAAGCGGAAUUUCCGGUGUAGCGGUGAAAUGCGUAGAUAUCGGAAGGAACACCAGUGGCGAAGGCGGCGCACUGGACCAUAACUGACGCUGAGGCGCGAAAGCUAGGGGAGCAAACAGG